rnacentral:rRNA from 1 species
AGUGAACGCUGGCGGUAGGCCUAACACAUGCAAGUCGAACGGGAGCACAUUAUUGCAUUGCUCUUACGGGGCGGAAGUGUGGGACGCGUGUGGGAUACAUGCGCAGCUGCCUUGUCGUGCGGGCGAACGCGGGUAAACUUACCCUGAUACGGCAUACGGCCUCCUGGUGAAAGCGGUGGAUCUUCGUACUUUGCGCGAGCGAUUGAGCCUAUGUCUGAUUAGCUAGUUGGCGGGGUAAAGGCGCACCAAGGCGACGAUCCGUAGCUGGUCUGAGAGGAAGAUCAGCCAGACCGGAACUGAGACACGGUCACGACUCCUACGGGAGGCAGCAGUGGGGAAUAUUGGACGAUGGGCGCAAGACUGAUCCAGCAAUACCGCGUGGGUGAAGAAGGCCUUCGGGUUGUACAGCCAUUUUGUUGGGAAAGAAAAGCAGCAGGUUAAUACCCCGCUGUUAUGACGGUACCCACAGAAUAAGCACCGGCUAACUUCGUG